rnacentral:rRNA from 1 species
AGCAGCCGCGGUAAUUCCAGCUCCAAUAGCGUAUAUUAAAGUUGUUGCAGUUAAAAAGCUCGUAGUUGAAUUUCGGGGUUAGUAGGUUGGUCAUGCCUCUGGUAUGUACUGGUCUCACUGAUUCCUCCUUCCUGAUGAACCUUAAUGCCAUUAAUUUGGUGUUUUGGGGAAUUUGGACUGUUACUUUGAAAAAAUUAGAGUGUUUAAAGCAAGCUAACGCUUGAAUACAUUAGCAUGGAAUAAUGAAAUAGGACGUUCGAUCCUAUUUUGUUGGUUUCUAGGAUCAACGUAAUGAUUAAUAGGGAUAGUUGGGGGCAUUAGUAUUCAAUUGUCAGAGGUGAAAUUCUUGGAUUUAUUGAAGACUAAUUACUGCGAAAGCAUUUGCCAAGGAUGUUUUCAUUAAUCAAGAACGAAAGUUAGGGGAUCGAAGACGAUCAGAUACCGUCGUAGUCUUAACCAUAAACUAUGCCGACUAGGGAUCGGAUGAUGUUAAUUUUUUAAUGACUCAUUCGGCGCCUUACG